rnacentral:sRNA from 1 species
CUCCGCUGCAGCCCAAAGCACGGGAAUCGCGGGACAGACAAACGAGCGGAGGGAAGAUACCUGGAAGCCAGGAAACUGCGAGGGGCAGUCCAACUUGGCCGGAAGCUGCGGAGAGGCUCAGCCACCGGAAGUCAGUGGAGGGUUCGGCCGGACGCUCUAGAAUCCCGGAGGACCGGGAUCUCUGUGGUUGGCCGUGACGGGCACCCUCUACCGGGGAUGACACAUUCCCAGAGCUCCUGGGACCAAGAAAAUGGCGGACACAAUUCCCUGGGCGGAAGGGGACUUCGGGAGCCAGGAGCCAAGGUGGAGGACCCCCUGCCCCCUGUGUUCUCAGGCACACCAAAGGGCAGUGGGGCUGGCUACGGUGUUGGCUUUGACCUGGAGGAAUUCUUAAACCAGUCUUUCGACAUGGGCGUGGCUGAUGGGCCACAGGAUGGCCAGGCAGAUUCAGCCUCUCUCUCAGCCUCCCUGCUUGCUGACUGGCUCGAAGGCCAUGGCAUGAACCCUGCCGAUAUUGAGUCCCUGCAGCGUGAGAUCCAGAUGGACUCCCCAAUGCUGCUGGCUGACCUGCCUGACCUCCAGGACCCCUGAGGCCCACAGCCUGUGCCUUGCUGCCACAGUAGACCUAGUUCCAGGAUCCAUGGGAGCAUUCUCAAAGGCUUUAGCCCUGGACCCAGCAGGUGAGGCUCGGCUUGGAUU